rnacentral:rRNA from 1 species
UGGAUAACCUGCCCUGGUAUCUGGGAUAACAUCUCGAAAGGGGUGCUAAUACCGGAUAAGCCCACGAACUCUUCGGAGUUUGCGGGAAAAGGUGGCCUCUAUUUAUAAGCUACCGUAUCAUGAUGGGUCCGCGUACCAUUAGCUAGUUGGUGGGGUAAUGGCCUACCAAGGCGACGAUGGUUAGCUGGUCUGAGAGGAUGAUCAGCCACACUGGAACUGAGACACGGUCCGGAUCCUACGGG